GUUUGCACUUAUCGGGGAAGGGUGAGAACCUUCGAUUAAGGUUCGACUCGAGCGAAAGCGAGAGAACGUUGCCAACGGCAACGGC
rnacentral:sRNA from 1 species